GGCCUCGUAGCUCAGCUGGUAGAGCGUGAACGUACAAAGCGUAGGCGGCGUCCAUGCGUGGAUUCGAAUCCCACCGGGGUUA
rfam:Echinostoma caproni strain Egypt genome assembly, scaffold: ECPE_contig0003945